GAUGAACGCUGGCGGCGUGCCUAAUACAUGCAAGUCGAGCGAACGGACGAGAAGCUUGCUUCUCUGAUGUUAGCGGCGGACGGGUGAGUAACACGUGGAUAACCUACCUAUAAGACUGGGAUAACUUCGGGAAACCGGAGCUAAUACCGGAUGAUAUUUUGAACCGCACGGUUCAAAAUUGCAAGACAGUUUUCCUGUCACUAAUAGCUGGAUCCGCGCUGCAUUAGCUAGUUGGUAAGGUAACGGCUAACCAAGGCAACGAUGCAUAGCCGAUCUGAGAGUGUGAUCGGCCACACUGGAACUGAGACACGGUCCAGACUCCUACGGGAGGCAGCAGUAGGGAAUCUUCCGCGAUGGGCGAAAGCCUGACGGAGGAACGCCGCGUGAGUGAGGAAGGUCUUCGGGUCGUAAAACUCUGUUAUUAGGGAAGAACAUAUGUGGAAGUAACUGUGCACAUCUUGACGGUACCUAAUCAGAAAGCCACGGCUAACUACGUG
rnacentral:rRNA from 1 species